rnacentral:rRNA from 1 species
GACAGAGGGUGCAAACGUUGUUCGGAAUUACUGGGCGUAAAGCGCGUGUAGGCGGCCCUGCAAGUCGGGUGUGAAAUCCCACGGCUCAACCAUGGAAGUGCACUCGAAACUGCAGGGCUAGAGUCCUGGAGAGGAAGGUGGAAUGCUUGGUGUAGAGGUGAAAUUCGUAGAUAUCAAGCGGAACACCGGUGGCGAAGGCGGCCUUCUGGACAGUGACUGACGCUGAGACGCGAAAGCGUGGGGAGCAAACAGG